rnacentral:rRNA from 1 species
AUUGAACGCUGGCGGCAGGCCUAACACAUGCAAGUCGAGCGAGCGGCGGACGGGUGAGUAAUGUCUGGGAAACUGCCUGAUGGAGGGGGAUAAAUACUGGAAACGGUAGCUAAUACCGCAUACCAUCAGAUGUGCCCAGAUGGGAUUAGCUAGUAGGGGGGGUAACGGCUCACCUAGGCGACGAUCCCUAGCUGGUCUGAGAGGAUGACCAGCCACCCUGGAAAGUAGACACGGUCCAUACUCCUACGGGAGGCAGCAGUGGGGACUAUUGCACAAUGGGCGCAAGCCUGAUGCAGCCAUGCCGCGUGUGUGAAGAAGGCCUCCGGGUUGUAAAGCACUUUCAGCAGGGAAGCGUUACCCGCAGAAGAAGCACCGGCUAACUCCGUGCCAGCAGCCGCGGUAAUUC